rnacentral:rRNA from 1 species
GAUGAACGCUAGCUACAGGCUUAACACAUGCAAGUCGCGGGGUAACAUCUGGUAGAGCUUGCUCUUCCAGGAUGACGACCGGCGCACGGGUGAGUAACGCGUAUCCAACCUGGCCCAUACCACGGGAUAGCCCGUCGAAAGGCGGAUUAAUACCGUAUGCUGUCAUUAAGAUGCAUAUAUUGAUGACGAAAGGACUGGCGGUAUGGGAUGGGGAUGCGUCUGAUUAGCUUGUUGGCGGGGUAACGGCCCACCAAGGCGACGAUCAGUAGGGGUUCUGAGAGGAAGGUCCCCCACAUUGGAACUGAGACACGGUCCAAACUCCUACGGGAGGCAGCAGUGAGGAAUAUUGGUCAAUGGACGUAAGUCUGAACCAGCCAAGUAGCGUGCAGGAUGACGGCCCUAUGGGUUGUAAACCUCUUUUGUCGGGGAGUAACGUGCGGGACGCGUCCCGUAUUGAGAGUACCCGAAGAAAA